rnacentral:rRNA from 1 species
GGCUCAGGAUGAACGCUGGCGGCGUGCUUAACACAUGCAAGUCGAACGAAGCACUUUACUACGAUUUCUUCGGAAUGACGGUUUUGUGACUGAGUGGCGGACGGGUGAGUAACGCGUGGAUAACCUGCCUCAUACAGGGGGGAUAACAGUUGGAAACGGCUGCUAAUACCGCAUAAGCGCACAGGGUCGCAUGACCUGGUGUGAAAAACUCCGAUGGUAUGAGAUGGACCCGCGUUGGAUUAGCUGGUUGGUGAGGUAACGGCCCACCAAGGCGACGAUCCAUAGCCGACCUGAGAGGGUGACCGGCCACAUUGGGACUGAGACACGGCCCAAACUCCUACGGGAGGCAGCAGUGGGGAAUAUUGCACAAUGGGCGAAAGCCUGAUGCAGCGACGCCGCGUGAGCGAAGAAGUAUUUCGGUAUGUAAAGCUCUAUCAGCAGGGAAGAUAAUGACGGUACCUGACUAAGAAGCACCGGCUAAAUACGUG